rnacentral:rRNA from 1 species
CACGUAGGGCGCGAGCGUUGUCCGGAAUUAUUGGGCGUAAAGAGCUCGUAGGCGGUUUGUCGCGUCUGCUGUGAAAACUCGAGGCCUCAACCUCGGGCUUGCAGUGGGUACGGGCAGACUAGAGUGCGGUAGGGGUGACUGGAAUUCCUGGUGUAGCGGUGGAAUGCGCAGAUAUCAGGAGGAACACCGAUGGCGAAGGCAGGUCACUGGGCCGCAACUGACGCUGAGGAGCGAAAGCAUGGGGAGCGAACAGG